AUCAACUUUCGAUGGUAGGAUAGAGGCCUACCAUGGUGGUAANGGGUAACGGGGUGUUAGGGCACGACACCGGAGAGGGAGCCUGAGAAACGGCUACCACAUCCAAGGAUGGCAGCAGGCGCGCAAAUUACCCAAUCCCGACACGGGGAGGUAGUGACAAUAAAUAACAAUACGGGGUUCUUUCGGAUUUCGUAAUUGGAAUGAGUACAAUUUAAAUCUCUUAACGAGGAACAAUUGGAGGGCAAGUCUGGUGCCAGCAGCCGCGGUAAUUCCAGCUCCAAUAGCGUAUAUUAAAGUUGUUGCAGUUAAAAAGCUCGUAGUUGAAUUUCGGGAUCAGCAGGUCGGUCGUACCUACGGUAUGCACUGGCCUUGCUGAUUCCACCCUCUUGAUGAGCCGUAAUGCCAUUAAUUUGGUGUUGCGGGGAAUCAGGACUGUUACUUUGAAAAAAUUAGAGUGUUUAAAGCAGGCAAGUGCUUGAAUACAUUAGCAUGGAAUAAUGAAAUAGGACGUUCGAUCCUAUUUUGUUGGUUUCUAGGAUUGACGUAAUGAUUAAUAGGGAUAGUUGGGGGCAUUAGUAUUCAAUUGUCAGAGGUGAAAUUCUUGGAUUUAUUGAAGACUAACUACUGCGAAAGCAUUUGCCAAGGAUGUUUUCAUUAAUCAAGAACGAAAGUUAGGGGAUCGAAGACGAUCAGAUACCGUCGUAGUCUUAACCAUAAACUAUGCCGACUAGGGAUCGGAUGAUGUUAAUUUUUUAAUGACUCAUUCGGCGCCUUACGGGAAACCAAAGUGUUUGGGUUC
rnacentral:rRNA from 1 species